ACGUGGCAUCCUGUUAUGGCAGCGUGAGCAGCCGAAUACCAGCUUCCAAGGAGUCUGUCUGUCGGCCCAAAUGGCAAUUGGCAUCUUCAGCGCAGAUUCCUUGCCUACUCUGGAAAGCUGGGGCUCCAUUUCUAGCUGUCUUCCCUGGCUGGGUGUAGCUGCAGUCCUGUGUAAUUCCAUGUCCUUCCAUUUGACAACACUUUUUGGUUUCUGGUCUUCCCAGUUUUUCCCCUAAGGAGGUUGGAGCUGCUUGUGAGCAGGAUCUCAUCUCCUCGGCGGCCCUCAGCGGCCCUCGUGAGAGCUCACAAGGAGCUUCCCAGCUAAGGCGACGGGGCUGUGCUCCCAAAGGUGACCGUGAGGAGGCGGGACAAAGGCCUUGGCUUUUCCUCCCCGGCCCCUCCCCCGGGAGCCAGAGACCAAAGCUCGUCCCUCUGCUGCCCUGCCUGGCUCGGAUGGAAAGGACUGAGGAAGGAGGCCUCCAACCAGAAGGAGAGCUGCUCGCUCAGGGCUGGAGAAUGGGCUUCGGGGCCACCCUGUCUCCCAGCUGACCUGCGAGACACACUCCCAAGUGGCAACCCGGUCGGAGGCCGCCGCAGGGUCUGUGAGCGCUCCGGCGCCGUCAGCUCCCCGCUGACGGACCUACAGGGCUCUGCUCUGCAGACUGCUCCGUGCCGGCCCCAGCCUCGGAAACUCUCCAAGGAGCUGCCGACGCAGUGAUGAGCCAGCUCGGGCUUGGAACCCAACCGGGCUAUUUUUAAAAGCUGUCUCCCAAAGCGACGCUGUGACACAGAGCAAGCUGCGUGCAGAGGAGACGCGGCCCAGCCUGUGAGGAUCUCCAGACCUCACGUCAGCUGAGGUCGGGAAUACCAAAGGAGGAAGACAGGCUUCUGAGAGGUCAAGAUUUACUGGACUGUAUACAAUUCAAAAAUUUGUACCUAUUCAGGUUUGGGAACAGUAUUAACCUAGGAAUGCUUAAGCAGAAGAAGUGUGGAAAACAAGCCUGAAAAUAUUCCCCUCUGAAGGACGAGAUCUUUGAACUGCUGUGCGAGUGUGUACCAGGAAUUUCAGAUGACUCGGACAAGCUGUGGUUGAUUGACGAUUGACUAUGAGAUACACGAUUAGGCCUCAUAGCUUCCAGAGGAUGUGCCCUUCCUUUCUGACAUCAGUGUCACGACUGUGGCCAGACCGAGAUUCUCCCACGCCGAGCACAGCAUGGGCACCAUUCUCCAGGACUUCACAAAGCCCCUUCCGGCCGGAUUCAUUCUCAGCCCCCGCCAACCUCCGGGCCCUGCUGUGAGAGGGCCCUUCCCUCUCUCCUCAAGCUUGCAUCGCGCAUGCUCUGGUGAAGCAUUGGAAGUGCCGGCUUUAGAGGCUGUUCUGUGGCGUCUGUUCUCUGGACAGCACCCUGAGAGUUACUUACCUCCAGUGAAAUCUGCCGGGAGGUAAACAUCUUAAUCCAUUCACAGUCCAUGCCACCAUAUUUCAGCCUCAGCACGGGGCCAAAAAUAAUGGAGCCAGCAGGCCAUGGACCGAAACCUCUGAAAUUGUGCACCAAAACAAAUACUUCUCCUUGUAAGUUGUUUACCUCAAGUAUUUUUUCCCAGCAGCAGAAAGCUGACCAAUCCAAUAGUUGUAGAUUGAGGCUCAUGGUGGGCUUGAGGGGUCCCCAGACAGCACCCCGAGCCUCCUUGAUUGUCUCUACCGGACCUGACAUGGUCAAGAGAGGAAAAGGUGCUGAACAGAAGAGAGACCUGUCCAGAACCACCCUGGGGUCCAAUAGUGUAGGGUAAGAAAUGUGAGUAGAGAAAUGUGCAGCUUUGAGGUGCUGACUGCCUCUACAGGACAUUGCUGGCACGGGAUCUUGCCACCCUUUAGAUCCUCUGACCAUCCUUAAUUCUCCAGAGAAAUGACAGAAUUAUUUCAUAAACUCUAGUUGUACCGAGCAUGAUAACCUUUAUAGUGCUGCUAUGUCACAAAUAUCACUGGUUCAUGAGAUGAGCCUGGAUAUCAGUAGACCAUUCACCAUCCACCUUCCAUCUUCCAUCCAUCCGUCCAUCUUUCCAAGGUCUGUAGGAAUGGCCUAGCUCAAAACACAAAAGGCUAAAUGUGUCUCAGUUACGUGCAGGGAGCUGCAGGAUCUCCAGUAUGAUUUGCAUUUAAAGAUGACACACACACACACACACACACACACA